AGUGAACGCUGGCGGUAGGCCUAACACAUGCAAGUCGAACGGCAGCACAGUAAGAGCUUGCUCUUACGGGUGGCGAGUGGCGGACGGGUGAGGAAUACAUCGGAAUCUACUUUUUCGUGGGGGAUAACGUAGGGAAACUUACGCUAAUACCGCAUACGACCUACGGGUGAAAGCAGGGGAUCUUCGGACCUUGCGCGAUUGAAUGAGCCGAUGUCGGAUUUGCUAGUUGGCGGGGUAAAGGCCCACCAAGGCGACGAUCCGUAGCUGGUCUGAGAGGAUGAUAGGCCACACUGGAACUGAGACACGGUCCAGGCUCCUACGAGAGGCAGCAGUGGGGAAUAUUGGACAAUGGGCGCAAGCCUGAUCCAGCCAUACCGCGUGGGUGAAGAAGGCCUUCGGGUUGUAAAGCCCUUUUGUUGGGAAAGAAAAGCAGCAGGUUAAUACCCCGCUGUUCUGACGGUACCCAAAGAAUAAGCACCGGCUAACUUCGUG
rnacentral:rRNA from 1 species